AUUGAACGCUGGCGGCAGGCCUAACACAUGCAAGUCGAGCGCGAAAGUACUUCGGUAUGAGUAGAGCGGCGGACGGGUGAGUAACGCGUAGGAAUCUACCUGGUAGUGGGGGACAACUCGGGGAAACUCGAGCUAAUACCGCAUACGCCCUACGGGGGAAAGCGGGGGAUCUUCGGACCUCGCGCUAUUAGAUGAGCCUGCGUAAGAUUAGCUAGUUGGUGGGGUAAUGGCCUACCAAGGCGACGAUCUUUAGCUGGUCUGAGAGGAUGAUCAGCCACACCGGGACUGAGACACGGCCCGGACUCCUACGGGAGGCAGCAGUGGGGAAUAUUGCGCAAUGGGCGAAAGCCUGACGGAGCAAGACCGCGUGGGGGAGAAGGUUUUGGAUCGUAA
rnacentral:rRNA from 1 species